GAUGAACGCUGGCGGCGUGCCUAAUACAUGCAAGUCGAGCGAAUGGAUUAAGAGCUUGCUCUUAUGAAGUUAGCGGCGGACGGGUGAGUAACACGUGGGUAACCUGCCCAUAAGACUGGGAUAACUCCGGGAAACCGGGGCUAAUACCGGAUAACAUUUUGAACCGCAUGGUUCGAAAUUGAAAGGCGGCUUCGGCUGUCACUUAUGGAUGGACCCGCGUCGCAUUAGCUAGUUGGUGAGGUAACGGCUCACCAAGGCAACGAUGCGUAGCCGACCUGAGAGGGUGAUCGGCCACCCUGGGACUGAGAAACGGCCCAGACUCCGACGGGAGGCAGCAGUAGGGAAUCUUCCGCAAUGGACGAAAGUCUGACGGAGCAACGCCGCGUGAGUGAUGAAGGCUUUCGGGUCGUAAAACUCUGUUGUUAGGGAAGAACAAGUGCUAGUUGAAUAAGCUGGCACCUUGACGGUACCUAACCAGAAAGCCACGGCUAACUACGUGCCAGCCGCCGCAGUAA
rnacentral:rRNA from 1 species